ensembl:snRNA U5 U5 spliceosomal RNA
ACACUCUGGUUUCUCUUCAGAUCGUAUAAAUCUUUCGCCUUUUACUAAAGAUUUCCGUGGAGAGGAACAUUAUGAGUCUAAACUAAUUUUUUGAUCGCCCUGCCUCACGGCGGGGCU